GUCGAGGGGCAGCGGGGUAGUGCUUGCACUACUGCCGGCGACCGGCGCACGGGUGAGUAACACGUAUGGAACCUGCCCGCAGCAGGGGGAUAAGCGGAAGAAAUUCCGUCUAAUACCGCGUAACAACGUUGGGAGGCAUCUCCCGAUGUUUAAAGAUUUAUCGGCUGCGGAUGGCCAUGCGGCGCAUUAGCUAGUCGGCGGGGUAACGGCCCACCGAGGCGACGAUGCGUAGGGGUUCUGAGAGGAAGGUCCCCCACACUGGUACUGAGACACGGACCAGACUCCUACGGGAGGCAGCAGUGAGGAAUAUUGGUCAAUGGCCGAGAGGCUGAACCAGCCAAGUCGCGUGAGGGAAGACGGCCCUACGGGUUGUAAACCUCUUUUGUCGGGGAGCAAAGCGAACCACGUGUGGUUCAUUGAGAGUACCCGAAGAAAAAGCAUCGGCUAACUCCGUGCCAGCAGCCGCGGUAAUACGGAGGAUGCGAGCGUUAUCCGGAUUUAUUGGGUUUAAAGGGUGCGCAGGCGGAGGUGCAAGUCAGCGGUCAAAUUGCGGGGCUCAACCCCGUACUGCCGUUGAAACUGCAUCCCUUGAGUGCGCGAGAAGUAUGCGGAAUGCGUGGUGUAGCGGUGAAAUGCAUAGAUAUCACGCAGAACUCCGAUUGCGAAGGCAGCAUACCGGCGCGCAACUGACGCUCAUGCACGAAAGCGUGGGUAU
rnacentral:rRNA from 1 species